rnacentral:rRNA from 1 species
CCUACGGGAGGCAGCAGUGAGGAAUCUUCCACAAUGGGCGAAAGCCUGAUGGAGCAACGCCGCGUGCAGGAUGAAGGCCCUCGGGUCGUAAACUGCUUUUAUAAGUGAAGAAUAUGACGGUAACUUAUGAAUAAGCACCGGCUAACUACGUGCCAGCAGCCGCGGUAAU